GCUUAACACAUGCAAGUCGAGGGGCAGCAUUUUAUUUUGCUUGCAAACUGAAGAUGGCGACCGGCGCACGGGUGAGUAACACGUAUCCAACCUGCCGAUAACUCCGGGAUAGCCUUUCGAAAGAAAGAUUAAUACCGGAUAGUAUACGAAUAUCGCAUGAUAUUUUUAUUAAAGAAUUUCGGUUAUCGAUGGGGAUGCGUUCCAUUAGUUUGUUGGCGGGGUAACGGCCCACCAAGACUACGAUGGAUAGGGGUUCUGAGAGGAAGGUCCCCCACAUUGGAACUGAGACACGGUCCAAACUCCUACGGGAGGCAGCAGUGAGGAAUAUUGGUCAAUGGGCGCGAGCCUGAACCAGCCAAGUAGCGUGAAGGAUGAAGGCUCUAUGGGUCGUAAACUUCUUUUAUAUGGGAAUAAAGUUUUCCACGUGUGGAAUUUUGUAUGUACCAUAUGAAUAAGGAUCGGCUAACUCCGUGCCAGCAGCCGCGGUAAUACGGAGGAUCCGAGCGUUAUCCGGAUUUAUUGGGUUUAAAGGGAGCGUAGGUGGAUUGUUAAGUCAGUUGUGAAAGUUUGCGGCUCAACCGUAAAAUUGCAGUUGAAACUGGCAGUCUUGAGUACAGUAGAGGUGGGCGGAAUUCGUGGUGUAGCGGUGAAAUGCUUAGAUAUCACGAAGAACUCCGAUUGCGAAGGCAGCUCACUAGACUGUCACUGACACUGAUGCUCGAAAGUGUGGGUAUCAAACAGGAUUAGAUACCCUGGUAGUCCACACAGUAAACGAUGAAUACUCGCUGUUUGCGAUAUACAGUAAGCGGCCAAGCGAAAGCAUUAAGUAUUCCACCUGGGGAGUACGCCGGCAACGGUGAAACUCAAAGGAAUUGACGGGGGCCCGCACAAGCGGAGGAACAUGUGGUUUAAUUCGAUGGUACGCGAGGAACCUUACCCGGGCUUAAAUUGCAACAGAAUAUAUUGGAAACAGUAUAGCCGUAAGGCUGUUGUGAAGGUGCUGCAUGGUUGUCGUCAGCUCGUGCCGUGAGGUGUCGGCUUAAGUGCCAUAACGAGCGCAACCCUUAUCUUUAGUUACUAACAGGUUAUGCUGAGGACUCUAGAGAGACUGCCGUCGUAAGAUGUGAGGAAGGUGGGGAUGACGUCAAAUCAGCACGGCCCUUACGUCCGGGGCUACACACGUGUUACAAUGGGGGGUACAGAAGGCGGCUACCUGGUGACAGGAUGCUAAUCCCAAAAACCUCUCUCAGUUCGGAUCGAAGUCUGCAACCCGACUUCGUGAAGCUGGAUUCGCUAGUAAUCGCGCAUCAGCCAUGGCGCGGUGAAUACGUUCCCGGGCCUUGUACACACCGCCCGUCAAGCCAUGAAAGCCGGGGGUACCUGAAGUACGUAACCGCAAGGAGCGUCCUAGGGUAAAACUGGUAAUUGGGGCUAAGUCG
rnacentral:rRNA from 1 species